CAUGCAAGUCGAACGGAACUUAAGGGCUUGCUCUUAAGUUUAGUGGCGAACGGGUGAGUAACAUAUCGGAACGUAUCCAAUAAUGGGGGAUAACUAAGCGAAAGCUUGGCUAAUACCGCAUACGCCCUGAGGGGGAAAGCUAGGGAUCUUCGGACCUGGCGUUAAUGGAGCGGCCGAUAUCUGAUUAGCUAGUUGGUGGGGUAAAGGCCCACCAAGGCGACGAUCAGUAGCUGGUCUGAGAGGACGACCAGCCACACUGGAACUGAGACACGGUCCAGACUCCUACGGGAGGCAGCAGUGGGGAAUUUUGGACAAUGGGGGCAACCCUGAUCCAGCCAUUCCGCGUGAGUGAAGAAGGCCUUCGGGUUGUAAAGCUCUUUCGCAAGGGAAGAAAGAUUACUCUCUAAUAUAGAGUGAUUAUGACGGUACCUUGAUAAGAAGCACCGGCUAACUACGUGCCAGCAGCCGCGGUAAUACGUAGGGUGCGAGCGUUAAUCGGAAUUACUGGGCGUAAAGCGUGCGCAGGCUAUUUGGCAAGUCAGAUGUGAAAUCCCCGAGCUCAACUUGGGAACUGCGUCUGAAACUGCUAGACUAGAAUCGGUCAGAGGGGGGUAGAAUUCCACGUGUAGCAGUGAAAUGCGUAGAGAUGUGGAGGAAUAUCAAUGGCGAAGGCAGCCCCCUGGGAUCAGAUUGACGCUCAUGCACGAAAGCGUGGGGAGCAAACAGGGUUAGGUACCCUGGUAGUCCACGCCCUAAACGAUGUCAACUAGUUGUUGGUAGAGUAAAAUCUAUGAGUAACGCAGCUAACGCGUGAAGUUGACCGCCUGGGGGAGUACGAUCGCAAGAUUAAAACUCAAAUGAAUUGAC
rnacentral:rRNA from 1 species